rnacentral:misc_RNA from 1 species
AACAUCGCGCACCUGCGGGAACCUGCGGAAGGAUCAUUACACAUUCGGGGCGCUCCGGCGCUCCUUAUACACCCACCCUCUGCCUACGUGUACCUCUAUAGCUUCCUCGGCGGGCUCGCCCGCCGCCAGGAACCCACGAAACCCCUUGCAUUAUACGCGAAAACUUCUGAUAACAAACCUAAAUUAUCACAACUUUUAACAAUGGAUCU